UAAUAUAAUUCCUAGAACGUUAAUUCACCAAAUCCCAUUAGAAAUCUACAAUUAAACAUGCUUGGGCUAGAGUAGUAUUGGUAUGGGUGACCCCCUGGGAAGUCCUAGUGUUUUGUUGG
rnacentral:rRNA from 1 species